rnacentral:lncRNA from 10 species
AGUCCCCUCCCCACCCUAUCCUGGAGCUUGUCAAGGCCACCAGAGACCUGCUCCCUGUGCCGUCUCAGACUGGACUCUGGGGUCUCCGGUGCCUCCUCUGAUUCUGCACCUCGGUGCAGCCUCUGGCCUGGCUGCGCUCUGAGGAGCUCCCUGUGGCCACCGAGCCCUUGGAACGUGGCCAGUUCCAUUCUCAAACUGCUGUGAGUGCAAAGCUCAUGCUGGAUUUUGAAGAUUUGUACAGAUAGAAUUUCACCCUGUUAGCCAGGAUGGU